rnacentral:lncRNA from 1 species
GCGCCCAUUUACUUUGUUGGCAGCCUUUUUCUCUUUUGUAUUAGGGGUUUUUGGGUGACCCUACCCAGCUCCCUCUUUUGUUUUUCGUUUCUUUUUCUUUUCCCGGCACAGCCUCCUUCCUUCCUAGCCUGAGUAACCCAGUCUCUCCAUCCUUCCCCAUCCUCUUCGUUUUACUAAUUUUUUGUUUUGCAGUUACCCAUUUCCUUCAACACCGAAAUUCUUGCUCAUUUUCUUAACUCCAGGCCUUCCCCAUCUGACUGUGGCCAAGAUGCUCAAGUGAAAUAGUAUCUCGUCUGAUUCAGCCGCUGUUGUCAGGGUCGCGGCGGGAGAGAUUGAGGAGCGGAGACAGAGGCGAGUACGGCGCUGGAGGGGCAGGUCCCAGGGGUGAUAUUUGUUGCUAAAAAUGGGUUUGGGUUCAUGCUCGGGCUGCUAGGUUUUGACAGGAGUGUCGGAGGUUAGAACUCCUUAAUCACGUCUCUUCCACACAGGCAUUCGCCGCUUCGAGACUGAAAGGGUUUGGUUGUUCCACUUGGGUCCUCACAAAAAUCCGAGUCUUGAACUUGGUUGCUUUUAAUUUCACUCCAAGAUAUACAUUUUAGGAUCUUGGAGGAAGAGGGGUCAUUAGGGUUUUGAUUUGAGUUUUGAGGCCUCGAAGAAUUUCUUUGUGAUUUCUGCCGUGAGUAUGAGUUGCAGAGGUUGAGGGAAGAUCUGUGAGUUGUUGAAUUUCUUUUGGCAGGGGAUUCUAGGGAAAGUAUUUGAUUUUAUUUCGGUAAUGAUUAAUAAAGUUUGUGAAUAGUGUUCAACGGUCAAUGAUCCUGAUGAAAUUUAGUUUUCUUCUCAUAAUGCUUUCACUAGAUCGCUUUGGCAAGUAACUUUUUUCAGACUUUAAUUAUCAUUCACCAUGUAGACUUAAUUUUUUUUUAAUGUUUUCUAUAGGAAAGUUUCCGAAAAUUUGGCGUGAAAGAUACCACUGUGGUAAGUGAUUUCAUUCUUUUGUUUUGUUUAUUUGAGCAUAAGCUUCUAUAUGUAGGGACGUUCAAGAUCAGUGAAUAUCAACCUUGUUUAAUAGAAUAAUGCUUUGUAAAUGUGAAUAUUUUUGCAGCUGGUGUUCUUUUUCUAUAAAAUGGGAAAUUUGUGACUAAGGUUAUUGGACUUGAUGUGGAAGAGAGAUUUAAAAAACUCUAUAUGUAAUUAUUUCAUAUGCUACUUUACUUUCAUGCUUCUAGGUAUGUGUGUAUACGGUAGUGAUGCGUGUUGUGGAUUUUAUGAUCAAAGUUCUCUUCAUAUGUGAAUUGAUUGUGUACGUUGCAG